rnacentral:lncRNA from 1 species
AGGUAGGAGGGUGUGGUGAGCUACAGAGCAGCAGGAUCUCAGGGCUUCUGAGUUCAUUGUACAGAGAUUCCUCAGGGAGCAACUCAGCAGCCUUAGUCCUCAGAGAAUCUCAGCAAUAAACCUGGACAGAAGGCUCACAAAGUCGCCACAGGGAGCUGCACCCAGAGAGUAGACCCUCAUGCUGGAAGUUAUUUUAUGGGGACAUAACAGAAGACCUAGGGGAAGCCCUCACAGAAGUUAUAGAAUCUGUACCUCAUUUUUAUAACUAAAGCUCAUCCCCUAAGGAACCAUUGCCCUCUGUAAGGCUCUCCAGCAGGUAUGUAUGGGAGAGGGAGUCAUCUUCAUGAACAGCAGACACUAUUAAGAUACAGAUAGUAUUAUGACAGACAUAUCAAUACCAACAUCUUUACCGACUUCCUACCACCGAGGACAUUGCAACCCCUGAGUGACACGUCAAUCUGGCCUUCAGCUUUCUAUAACCCUUGAUAAUUGCUCUGAGUAGGAGAAAAUCUGGUUACUAUAUAAGAGCAAUUAAUUGGUGACACCUGGGAGACUGGCAGAGUUCUCACUGCAGUUUUGACUAUUAGAUAAGUGGCUAUUAGCCCAAAUGCUUGAAUUACCCUAGAUGCCUAGAACACAUGAAACUCAAGACGGAUGAUCAAAAUGUGAAUGCUUCACUCCUUCUUUAAAAGGGGAACAAGAAUACCCUUGGCAGGGAAUAGAGAGGCAAAGAUUAAAACAGACACAGAGGGAACACCCAUUCAGAGCCUGCCCCACAUGUGGCCCAUACAUAUACAGCCAUCCAAUUAGACAAGAUGGAUGAAGCAAAGAAGUGCAGGCCGACAGGAGCCGGAUGUAGAUCGCUCCUGAGAGACACAGCCAGAAUACAGCAAACACAGAGGUGAAUGCCAGCAGCAAACCACUGAACUGAGAACGGGACCCCCGUUGAAGGAAUCAGAGAAAGAACUCAAAGAGCUUGAAGGGGCUUGAGACCCCAUAUGAACAACAAUGCCAAUCAACCAGAGCUUCCAGGGACUAAGCCACUACCUAAAGACUAUACAUGGACUGACCCUGGACUCUGACCUCAUAGGUAGCAAUGAAUAUUCUAGUAAGAUCACCAGUGGAAGGGUAAGCCCUUGGUCCUGCUAGGACUGAACCCCCAGUGAACGUGAUUGUUGGGGG